CCUACGGGAGGCAGCAGUGAGGAAUAUUGGUCAAUGGCCGGGAGCCUGAACCAGCCAAGCCGCGUGAAGUAAGACGGCCCUACGCGUUGUAAACCUCUUUUGUCGGGGAGCAAGGUGCACGUCGUGACCUGCUGUGAGAGUACCUGAAGAAAAAGCAUCGGCUAACUCCGUGCCAGCAGCCGCGGUAAUACGGAGGAUGCGAGCGUUAUCCGGAUUUAUUGGGUUUAAAGGGUGCGCAGGCGGAGGCACAAGUCAGCGGUAAAAUCGCGGGGCUCAACCCCGCCCCGCCGUUGAAACUGUGGGCCUUGAGAGUGCGAAGGGUAGGCGGAAUGCGUGGUGUAGCGGUGAAAUGCAUAGAUAUCGCGCAGAACUCCGAUCGCGAAGGCAGCGUACCGGCGCGGAACUGACGCUGAGGCACGAAAGCGUGGGUAUCGAACAGGAUUAGAUACCCGAGUAGUC
rnacentral:rRNA from 1 species